UUGGGGUCGGCGAGUGGAGAGGUCGCUUGGGUAAAAAUAAACCGUCUUUUACUGAACUCAAUGAUAAUCGUUUUGCUUGAGUUGUAGGGAUUGGAAGAACGAAAGCAGCGAGCCAUGCUUGGAGGAAAAGAGCCUUUGAAGCAGAUUUGAAUGAUAAUUGUUCGUGAAACAGGGAACUGUGGUGUGCUCGGGUUAAAUACAUGGGUGGCCCUUUGGUCAUAACAUUAUUCAAUCUGUACACUAAACAAACAUUUAAAAAUUGGAUUGUGAAAUAUUAAAUACGAGCAACAAAAGCAGUACUUAACAGACAAGAAAAACCUUCAGAUGCAGGAAUCCAAAGUAGAUAACCUGGAGGCUGGAAGAACACAGAGCCUGGCAGCAUCAGGAGAUGGAAAACUCAACAAAAUAUUACUUGCAGAAUCAGAAGAGGCCCCACAAAAUGGGUUACGCGACUCUUCAGAACCUGAAUGCCAUCAGCCUUUGAAUGUGAAAAAAGUAUUUCAACUAACCAUGCAAUCUGAAAAUGCAUCAUGCCAAUCAUAGCAGAAAGGAAUACAUGUGUAGUAUGUGUGGGUCAGUCUUCAACUGAUUAUAAGUCUUGGAGAAGGACAACGCAACCCCAAUAUGGAGAAACCAUGGAAAUGUGAAUAUUGUGGGAAGAGAUUCAGUUACCCAUCCCAGAUAGAAAAUCAUCGACGCAGUCACACUGGGGAGAGACCAUUCAGCUGUUUGGCUUGUGGGGAAGAAUUUACACAGAGAUCCAGCCUUUUGACACACCAACGAAUUCACACUGGAGAGAGACCAUUUACCUGUUGCGACUGUGGGAAAGGUUUUACUCAAUCAGCCAGCCUUCGGAGACACCAGCGAGUUCAUACUGGUAAAACUCCAUAUACCUGUUCUGUAUGUGGAAAGGGAUUCACCCAGUCAGCCAACUUUCAGAGACACCGACGAAUUCAUACUGGAGAGAAGCCUUUCACCUGCUCAGCAUGUGGCAAAGGCUUCAUUCAGUCAUUUGAGCUUCUGACACACCAGCAAGUUCACACAGAGGAGAGACCUUUUCAUUGCUCUGAAUGUCAGAAGUGCUUUAAAAGUAUAAAGCAACUUCUGGCCCAUCAGCGCACUCACACUGGGGAGAGGCCGUUCACUUGCUCAGUCUGUGGGAAGGGAUUCACUCGUUCAUCCACCUUGCUGACACACCAGCAGGUUCACACUGGGGAGAAGACAUUUAUCUGCUCUGAGUGUGGAAAGGGAUGCAUUACUUCAUCCCACCUACUGAUACAUCAGCGAGUUCACAGUGGGGAGAGGCCAUUCACCUGUUUAGCCUGUGGGAAGGGAUUCAUUCAGUCAUCACACCUGCAGAAACACCAGAGACUUCACAAGUAAUUGCAGGACAUGAACUCCCCUGUUAAUGCUGCUGCUGAUCACAUCCAGGACUGUUUUAAUAAGAGUUUCUCAAUAACCCUUAUAAAUUAAAUAUUAAUUUAAAUAUAAC